GAUGAACGCUGACAGAAUGCUUAACACAUGCAAGUCGAUGAGAAGACUCCCUUCGGGGAGAGGGUAUCAUGGCGGACGGGUGAGUAACGGGUAAAGAACUUGCCGUAGGCACAGGGAUAACCGAUGGAACGGACGGAUAAGAUCUGAUAUAAUGGAAUUGUGGCAUCACGAUUUUAUGAAAAGCAAAACCAUACGAGAGCUUUGCGUCCUAUUAGCUAGUUGUUAGUGUAAUGGACUACCAAGGCGAUGAUAGGUAGCCGGCCUGGGAGGGUGGACGGCCACAAGGGGACUGAGAUACGGCCCUUACUCUUACGGGAGGCAGCAGUGGGGAAUAUUGGACAAUGGAGGUAACUCUGAUCCAGCAAUUCUGUGUGCACGAAGAAGGUUUUCGGAUUGUAAAGUGCUUUAAGUUGGGAAGAAGAAAAUGACGGUACCAACAGAAUAAGCGACGGCUAAAUACGUGCCAGCAGCCGCCGUAA
rnacentral:rRNA from 1 species